GGCUUAACACAUGCAAGUCGAACGAUAAGCUAGACUUCGGUUUAGUGGACAGUGGCAGACAGGUGAGUAACGCGUGGGAAUCUACCUUUGAGUGGGGAAUAACAAUUAGAAAUGAUUGCUAAUACCGCAUACACCCUCCGGGGGAAAGGCUUCGGCCGCUCUUAGAUGAGCCCGCGUACGAUUAGUUUGUUGGUGAGGUAAAGGCUCACCAAGACUACGAUCGUUAGCUGGUUUGAGAGGAUGAUCAGCCACACUGGGACUGAGACACGGCCCAGACUCCUACGGGAGGCAGCAGUGGGGAAUAUUGGACAAUGGGCGAAAGCCUGAUCCAGCCAUGCCGCGUGAGUGAAGGAGGCCUUAGGGUUGUAAAACUCUUUCGACAGGGAAGAUAAUGACGGUACCUGUAUAAGAAGCUCCGGCUAACUCCGUGCCAACAGCCGCGGUAAUACGGAGGGGGCAAGCGUUGCUCGGAAUUACUGGGCGUAAAGCGAGCGUAGGCGGUUAAUCAAGUUGGUGGUGAAAGCCCGGAGCUCAACUCCGGAACUGCCAUCAAAACUUAUUAACUUGAGAUUGGUAGAGGAAAAUGGAAUUCCUAG
rnacentral:rRNA from 1 species